rnacentral:rRNA from 1 species
AGAGUUUGAUCCUGGCUCAGGAUGAACGCUAGCGGCAGGCUUAACACAUGCAAGUCGGACGGGAUCGGGGCUUCGGCCCCGUGAGAGUGGCGGAUGGGUGAGUAACGCGUAUGCAACCUGCCCCGCGCCGGGGGGUAGCCCGCCCAAAGGCGGAUUAGACCCCUGCGAUGCGCCGGGACCGCAUGGUUCGGGCGCGAUAGCCGCGAGGCGGCGCGGGAUGGGCAUGCGGGCCAUUAGCUAGACGGCGGGGCAACGGCCCACCGUGGCGACGAUGGCUAGGGGGCCUGAGAGGGCGACCCCCCACAUUGGGACUGAGACACGGCCCAAACUCCUACGGGAGGCAGCAGUGAGGAAUAUUGGUCAAUGGGCGGAAGCCUGAACCAGCCAUGCCGCGUGCCGGAAGACGGCCCUACGGGCUGUAAACGGCUUUUGGCGGGGAGGAAUAAGGGCCGUUGUGGGCCCGAUGCCCGUACCCGCCGAAUAAGGAUCGGCUAACUCCGUGCCAGCAGCCGCGGUAAUACGGGGGAUCCGAGCGUUAUCCGGAUUUACUGGGUUUAAAGGGUGCGCAGGCGGCGGGGUCCGUCCGCGGUGAAACGCCGGGGCUCAACCCCGGCCUGGCCGUGGAAACCGCCCCGCUUGGAUACGGUCGAGGCUGGCGGAACGCGUGGUGUAGCGGUGAAAUGCUUAGAGAUCACGUGGAAGGCCGAUUGCGGAGGCAGCUGGCCAGGCCGGGAUUGACGCUGAGGCACGAAAGCGUGGGGAGCGAACAGGAUUAGAUACCCUGGUAGUCCACGCCGUAAACGAUGAGCACUGGCUGUCGGCGACAGGCUGUCGGCGGCUGCGCGAAAGCGUUAAGUGCUCCACCUGGGGAGUACGGCCGCAAGGCUGAAACUCAAAGGAAUUGACGGGGGCCCGCACAAGCGGAGGAACAUGUGGUUUAAUUCGAUGAUACGCGAGGAACCUUACCUGGGCUCGAACGGCGGAUACGGCGCCCGAAAGGGGGCCUGCCCCUCGGGGCGUCCGCCGAGGUGUUGCAUGGUUGUCGUCAGCUCGUGCCGUGGGGUGUCGGGUUAAGUCCCAUAACGAGCGCAACCCCUGCCGCCAGUUGCCAGCGCGUCAAGGCGGGGACUCUGGCGGGACUGCCGGCGCAAGCCGCGAGGAGGGUGGGGAUGACGUCAAAUCAGCAUGACUCUUACGUCCAGGGCGACACACGUGUUACAAUGGCCGGCACAGAGGGGCGCCACCCCGCGAGGGGGCGCGGAUCCCGAAAGCCGGCCCCAGUACGGAUUGGAGUCUGCAACCCGACUCCAUGAAGCUGGAUUCGCUAGUAAUCGCGCAUCAGCCACGGCGCGGUGAAUACGUUCCCGGGCCUUGUACACACCACA